CUUGUAGUUAGUGAACAAAUUGGCUGUGUUUCAGGAUGUGAUGUUGAUAUUUCUAAGAUACUUUUCUUUAGUUUAGGACAUGGCUGUGUAGUACUCGGCCCCCACAUAAUCUCAUCUAUCUAGAGAAGGAUCAGCCCGUUUUCCAGAUUAGAAACCGGAGGCCAGUAUCUAGUUGUUAGUGAACAAAUGAGCCGUGCUUCUGGAUCUGAUGUUGGUGAUAUUUCUAUUGUGCUUCCCUUCAGUUUAGGAUGUGACUCUCUAGAACAUGGCAACCAUGUAAUCUUCCUAUCUGGAGCAGCACCGACCCAUUUUCCUGAUGAGAAACUGUGUUUAGCAUGUGGCUCUCUAGAACUUGGCAACCAUGUAAUCUUCCUAUCUGGAGCAGCACCGAACAAUUUUCCUGAAGCGAAACUGUGUUUAGCAUGUGGCUCUCUAGAACUUGGCAACCAUGUAAUCUUCCUAUCUGGAGCAGCACAGACCCGUUUUCCUGAUGAGAAACUGUGGACAUUGACAAAAACAUUAAAAACCAGAAGGCCAAGCAUUGGGCUACCUUGCUGGAGACCUCCUUCCAAGCUGCUGUAA
ensembl:lncRNA